UACAGAGGUGGCAAGCGUUGUUCGGAAUUACUGGGUGUAAAGCGUGCGCAGGCGGUUUUGUAAGUCUGUCGUGAAAUCCCCGGGCUCAACCUGGGAAUUGCGAUGGAGACUGCAAGGCUAGAAUCUGGCAGAGGGGGGUAGAAUUCCACGUGUAGCAGUGAAAUGCGUAGAGAUGUGGAGGAACACCGAUGGCGAAGGCAGCCCCCUGGGUCAAGAUUGACGCUCAUGACACGAAAGCGUGGGGAGCAACAGGAUUAGAGUACCCCAAGUA
rnacentral:rRNA from 1 species